rnacentral:rRNA from 1 species
GAUGAACGCUGGCGGCGUGCCUAAUACAUGCAAGUCGAGCGAACAGACGAGGAGCUUGCUCCUCUGACGUUAGCGGCGGACGGGUGAGUAACACGUGGAUACCCUACCUAUAAGACUGGGAUAACUUCGGGAAACCGGAGCUAAUACCGGAUAAUAUAUUGAACCGCAUGGUUCAAUAGUGAAAGACGGUUUUGCUGUCACUUAUAGAUGGAUCCGCGCCGCAUUAGCUAGUUGGUAAGGUAACGGCCUACCAAGGCAACGAUGCGUAGCCGACCGGAGAGAGUGGUCGGCGGCAUGAGAACUGGGACACGGUCCAGACUCCUACGAGAGGCAGCAGUAGGGAAUCUUCCGCAGUGGGCGAAAGCCUGACGGAGCAGCGCCGCGUGAGUGGUGGAGGUCUUCGGAUCGUAAAACUCUGUUAUUAGGGAAGAACAAAUGUGUAAGUAACUAUGCACGUCUUGACGGUACCUGGUCAGAAAGCCACGGCUAACUACGUG